rnacentral:rRNA from 1 species
GGGAAUAUUGGACAAUGGGCGAAAGCCUGAUCCAGCAAUGCCGCGUGUGUGAAGAAGGUCUUCGGAUUGAAAAGCACUUUCGGCGGGGACGAUGAUGACGGUACCCGCAGAAGAAGCCCCGGCUAACUUCGUGCCAGCAGCCGCGGUAAUACGAAGUGGGCUAGCGUUGCUCGUAAUGACUGGGCGUAAAGGGCGCGUAGGCGGUUCUGCAAGUUAGAUGUGAAAUUCCUGGGCUUAACCUGGGGGCUGCAUUUGAUACUGUGGGGCUUGAGUAUGGAAGAGGGUCGUGGAAUUCCCAGUGUAGAGGUGAAAUUCGUAGAUAUUGGGAAGAACACCGGUGGCGAAGGCGGCGACCUGGUCCAUAACUGACGCUGAGGCGCGAAAGCGUGGGGAGCAAACU